rnacentral:rRNA from 1 species
CUACAAAUGAAUUGACGGGUCCCUGCACAAGCAGCGGAGCGUGUGGUUUAAUCGUUGCUACACGAAGAACCUUACCUGGGUUUGACAUAGCAGUGGUAGGGAAGCGAAAGCGGACGACCUUCGGGGAGCUGUUACAGGUGUUGCAUGGCUGUCGUCAGCUCGUGUCGUGAGAUGUUCGGUUAGGUCCGCUAACGAGCGCAACCCGCGUUGUGUGUUACAAGUGUCACACAAUACCGCCGGUAUUAAGUCGGAGGAAGGUGCGGAUGACGUCAAGUCAGCAUGACCUUUAUAUCCAGGGCUACACACACGCUACAAUGGUCAGCACAAUAGGUUGCCAAGUCGUGAGACGGAGCCAAUCCUCCAAAGCUGGCCUCAGUUCAGAUUGUAGGCUGCAACCCGCCUGCAUGAAGUUGGAGUUGCUAGUAAACGCAGGUCAGCCAUACUCGCGUUCCGAAUACGUUCCGGGCCUU